ensembl:lncRNA
AGGGGCCUGUUUGUUCCCCUAACAUGGGAAGCCAAUGUAUCUGCUUGUCCUGAUCUGAGUAGUGGAACUGUUACAAUCGACCUUAAACAUUUUGCCUGUUGUAAAGAGAAGCUACUUCAGAUAGAGUAAGAAGUUCGGGAAUUUCAGCCAAAGUUCUCAGAAUACAGAAGAUGGAGGGAUGCAAAGAUCUUAUGACUGUUGCGAGGUUUCUGAGCGCUGAGAUGCUGUCCCCUGCGGUGUACCGUACAGCAUUCCCUUCUUCCCAGGUGUUCUCCACAGACAGAAACCACACGGAGAGGAGAAGGUCUUAACAAAUACAUGAACAAAAUACAAUCCUUUGAGCAAAGAGAAAGGGUGAGGUAUAUAUGUAUAUGUGAGUGUGUGUGUGUGUAUAUAUAUGUGAAGCUCAGUACACUCAUAUGCUAAAAAACUCAUAGGCUAAAAAACAUGCAGUAGUUCAGUUGCAAUAUUUUCUGUUCCUUAGUGAUUAAUAGUAAACCCUAAUUUACCAUUACUGCACUAAAUACCAGAAAGAAAAAGAAAACAACACUGUAUUAGAAUGAUGGUUCCGGUAACAUGACAGUAAGAUGCUGUGUGCUAUGGGGAUCGACACAAAGUACUGCAAAGAGCAAAUGCGUGCCCUGAAGUCAUUCGGAGUUACUUGGCAGAAUUUUUUGCAGGUCGGUCUUCCCUCACACGCAAUGCAGAUGGUUCCUUCAAACCAUUUCUUGUAAGCGUUUGCUCCCUCUGCAAACUUGAUUAUAACAUACACAGAGCUGAAGUUGCUCUGAAGGGCUGGUAGGGGUGCAGGUUGGUCUCAGCACUGCCAUUAAUCCUCGCCACCUAUUUGAAUGUAGAAAACCAAAAGGUUGGGUGGGAUUCGAAGGUUGGGGAAUGGCACUCUCCAGUUAUAAUUCCUUACUAACGGUAACAGUCAUGUACAUAACAGUGAUCGCAGCAUUACUUUUAAGUUCUAAUGAGUGUAUUUAAAGCUGUCAUUCACUGCUGCGCGUUUUCAGGUCAACCACAACACCGUGCAUGCAGGCUGGACACGCUGCCAGAAGAACAAACAACUCGCAGCAUGGCUGUGUUAUUUAAAAGGCGCUGUACAUUGGCUUUUUUUAUAUUACUUUUCCUUCCUUCCUUUUUUUUUUUUUUUUCUUUUGCUUUUUCUCUGAGAUUCCAAAGCUGUUCUUGUAGUGAAAUGGGAACAGCACAGCUGCUUUUGCUGUUAGGAACACGGUGGCGGCACGCGCGGCAGCACCCGAGCCGGCAGCUCCGGGAGCGCAGCACCACCGCCGCUUCGCACCCGCACUUUGACGAGGC